rnacentral:lncRNA from 10 species
UCGGGGAGCUCGGCUCUUGAGACAGGAAUCUUGCCCAUUCCCCGAACGAAUAAACCCCUUCCUUAACUCAGCGUCUGAGGAAUUUUGUCUGCGGCUCCUCCUGCUACAUUCUGAGUGGGGAAAGGGACUAAGGUGGUCUGAGGACCCCACAGAGUCAGGAAGAUUGAGAGCCUGAUAAAGGUCCUGCGGGCAGGACAGGACCUCCCAACCAAGCCCUCCAGCAAGGAUUCAGGUUGGUGCUGAGUGCCUGGGAGGGACACCCGCCUACACUCUGCAAGAAACUCAAAAAGGGAGAUGAGGGGAUCGUGGGAGGGAGGUAGGGAGGGAGGAGGGUGCCACUGAUCCCCUGAACCCCUGCCUCUGCCUCCAGAGUGCCCCUCCGGCCUCGCCAUGAGGCUCUUCCUGUCGCUCCCGGUCCUGGUGGUGGUUCUGUCGAUCGUCUUGGAAGGGAGUGGUUUUCAGAGACAUUUCAGAAAGUGAAGGAGAAACUCAAGAUUGACUCAUGAGGACCUGAAGGGUGACAUCCCAGGAGGGGCCUCUGAAAUUUCCCACACCCCAGCGCCUGUGCUGAGGACUCCCUCCAUGUGGCCCCAGGUGCCACCAAUAAAAAUCCUACAGAAAAUUC